rfam:Myotis lucifugus cont2.116, whole genome shotgun sequence.
GGCGGUUCUCAGGUGAUGCACCACAGAAUCGAGCGCCCUCCUCUCUGGUUCCGGGUGCGUCACCCGAGAACUGCA